rnacentral:lncRNA from 1 species
UGUAUCAUGUUGUUUGACUGAGACAGUUUCCUAUGUUCAGAAAUGUCAGUUGGCAUCUGCUGACUAUUGACUAUUAUUUCUUUCAUUAAAAUUCUUACCUUGUAAAGUUACCUUUUGCAAAUCUUGUGUGAGAUUUGAGAAGUCUUCACUCAGUGCCAUAGUACAGAUGUCCACAAAUUCUCAUGUGAUAUUUAUAGGAGAUGGUAGGUCACUUAGAUGAAAGGAAUCCCAACCCAUUGACCCAAGGGCUCCUUUUAAAAACUAUUUGUGUGUGUAUGUCUGUCUGUCUGUGUGUGUGUGUGUGUGUGUGUGUGUUUGCUAUAGGUAGCAUAAAGGUAAAGCAUUGUACCUCAUACCCCACUUUAAAAAAAACUUUUGAGACAGGACUUCACUGAGUUCCAGGCUGUCUUUGAACUUGUUCUGUGACCAUGGUGAGCCUUAGAUUUCCAUUCUUCUUGUCCAGCUGACUAAAUAGUUGGUAUUACAAGUCUGCACAACCAGGCCCAGCUCAAGUGUAGGUCCUGGAAGGGCUCUGGUCCCACCAGGCUGGUGACUAGGUGGGGCAACAUUUCUGCAUCUGGUAACAGGACUCAUCUUGUGGUAGUAGCAGGGAUACCACAUCUGCUCAGUUUCUUCAUCUGUGAAAUGGGGAUGAACUUGAUCAUUGUGCAUGAGACUGAGGAUAGUGCCUAGAAUACAGUUGCUCAUGAGUCUGUGGGCAUCUCCAUCCUUCUCAAAUCACCUAGGGGGCAGGAUAUUCUCUGCUCUAGUGGCUAACCUUUCUGUGUCUUGCAGCUGCAGGCACCCCUGAGCCCAGUGUCUCUGUGGAACCUGAGCGUGGCCAAUGGGUGUGUAAGGUGUGCUCCAACACCUUCCUGGAGCUUCAGCUCCUGAACGGUAAGGUAAAGGUGGCAAAUGGGUUUUUUCCAAGGAGUGCAGACUAUUGUACUGAGCUUUUUCAUGCAUGUUGGCCCAUGCCCGUGGUUGUCAGUCUGUGCUAGUCUUUGUAUUGUCUGUACCAUGGCCCACAGUGACCUCCUCUGUGCAACCAUAUGACCUGGGCAUGUGGGCUAUUCACUCCAGCCUCACUCUGUUUAUCUAGAAAAUGGCCAUCAUGCCUGUAUAGACUGUUGUGAGACUCACUGAGUCAUGCCGUUACCUCCCCUACUGUCCUGCUGACCAGGCUCUGGAUAUGGUGGACAUAAGCAAGGACAAGAAUCCUUCACUUGCCUCUUGAGGUCCUGCCUAGUAUCUUAUCUAACAGUCUCCCUCUGUUUGUCUUCAGGGCAUCCUGUUACUUCUGCCUUCCUUACUAAUUGAAGGUGGCCAGAGAAAACUUGACCCCAUCCAUUAUUACACAGUAUCCUGGGAACCUCUCUGCUGGGUAAUAGAGAAAGAUAGCAGUCACAUAAGCUACAAAGAAGCUAGGUGUGAAAGCUAUGACCUUUAUUACAUAUCGAACAUGCUUGAUGGCCAAACUCCACAGGGGCCACUGGCUUGCAACUCCAAGGAUAUGACAGAGACAGCUGGGUUCUGCUCUUGUAGUCUGAGCAAGUCAGUGAUUGGAAUAUUCUGGGACCUAUAAGAAGGUUCUUUCUAGACAGAUUUUAGCAAUAGAAAUGCUAAUGAGGACAUUUCUGGGAGAAACCUUGGUCAUUAGGCAGGGCUCAUUCAUCUUCUAAGGAUUGUGGGUAUCUGUUCUUGUGUUCCUGGAUCAUCCUCCUUCCUAAUCCUAACCCUAACCCUGUCCUUAACACUUUUUUUCUUUUGCCUGGGGGAAUCACAUCGGUCCAUCAUAGAUGAGAAAAAUGAACAGCUACCAGUUUCUUCCUCCUCUUCCUUCUCCUCCUCUUCUUUUUAGAGUUUUAUAUGUGAGUGUUUUGCAUGCAUGCAUGUCUGUGUACCACAUGUGUGCAGUGUCCAUACAGGCCAGAAGAGGGAAUUAGAUCCCCUGUAACUGGAGUUACAGAGGGUUGUAAGCUAUCAUGUGGGUACUGAGACAUGAACCUUGGUCUUUGGAAGCUCAGCAAGACCUAUUAGCCACCUCCAGCCCCAUCUGCUGUUGCCUCUAGGUUUCUUAAGAGUGCUGAGCUUGUGAAAGAACAUAUACCCUAGGUGAGGGCAAGGUCCAUCUGUAGAAAUCACAGGGUACAGGGACAUCACACAAGAUACGGUCACUCAGCCCUGGUCAAGAAAGGCUGUUUGAUCUGUUGGGUAAUUUUCUUUGGUGACUAGUUUUACUUAAGGAAAAAGCCUUCCUUCACUUUGGUAGUAGAGCUAGGCAGUGUUCCUAGAUGCCAGCUCAGCUGAGACCUCUUACCAUGUACCUACAGUGACUCAGUGCAUCUCACAACAGUCUAUACAGCCAUAGUGGUCAUUUUCUGGAUAAACAGACUGAGGCUGGUGCGAAUAGCUCACAUGCCCAGGCUAUAUGGUUACACAUGCCGGAGCCACAUUCAAGGCAGGCGUUGCUGCUCAACCUCUGCUACCAGGGGGUCAUGGGGCUCUUCUUUCUCCUGCAACCCUUGCCUGUGUGUCUGGUAGGUAACCUGACAGUUGAGGACCUGGGUGCAGAGCUGAUCAGAAGGAGAAGGAUACAGAGCUUAGUCUCUGGGAAACUAGGCUGCAGGACAGAGAGACCUUUUGUUACUGUCAGACUGGCUUUGAAGACAUCCCAGAGCCAAAUGGCAUGGCUAUCGUACACAAGUCUAUGGAGUAUAGGCUUCAUUAGGUCAUAUUUUGUCAAGUAGGAGAAGUGAAUCCAUGACCCCCCUCAUCUUAGCCAUGAUCACAUUGGGCCUGAAGCUGCCUUCUGCAGAACCUUGUCUGAGAGGCUUACCUCAAGUUAGAAGGUGUUGUUUUGUUUUUUAGGCUCCAACCUAUGGUGUCUGCCUUCUCUGUGGUCAGCUAACUUCAAAACCAGAUGAGUCUUUUGAACUUGAACAUAUUUCAUGCAUUUACUCAUGAAUAUACGUGAUUGAACGAGUGAGGGUCAGCAUGUGUCUUUUAAAGUCAGACCCACUAUGCAUAGUACCAGGAGACCAACUGAGAUUGCUGGACAACAUGGGAAGCACAGGCUGUUGUUCUUGACCUUUCACCUGAUGCUGUCAUUUCCUGGGUCCCCUUGGGGAACCCUACUCCCGUCUCAAGAGGCCACUUAGGAUGUCUGAUUAAACAUGAGGCAAUAGUGAAUGUACUGGCCUUGGUGCCCUCCUGGAAUUCUACUCCACUUCAUUGAAUGUAAGG